rnacentral:tRNA from 1 species
GCCGAUGUAGCUCAGUGGCAGAGCAAGUCUUUCGUAAAGAUUAGGUCGCGGGUUCGAUUCCCAUCAUCGGCUCCA